rnacentral:rRNA from 1 species
UACGUAGGUGGCAAGCGUUGUCCGGAAUUACUGGGCGUAAAGCGUGCGUAGGCGGACGAAUAAGUCGGGUGUGAAAUCCCUGGGCUCAACCCAGGAACUGCAUUCGAAACUGCUCGCCUAGAGUACUGGAGAGGAAAGCGGAAUUCUUGGUGUAGAGGUGAAAUUCGUAGAUAUCAGGAGGAACACCAGUGGCGAAGGCGGCUUUCUGGACAGUUACUGACGCUCAGACACGAAAGCGUGGGGAGCAAACAGG